rnacentral:rRNA from 1 species
UUCUGUAAGCCGUUGAAGGUGUCCUGUGAGGGGUGCUGGAGGUAUCAGAAGUGCGAAUGCUGACAUAAGUAACGAUAAAGCGGGUGAAAAGCCCGCUCGCCGGAAGACCAAGGGUUCCUGUCCAACGUUAAUCGGGGCAGGGUGAGUCGACCCCUAAGGCGAGGCCGAAAGGCGUAGUCGAUGGGAAACGGGUUAAUAUUCCCGUACUUGGUGUUACUGCGAAGGGGGGACGGAGAAGGCUAUGUUGGCCGGGCGACGGUUGUCCCGGUUUAAGCGUGUAGGUGUGUGUUCCAGGUAAAUCCGGUUCACUUUAACACUGAGGCGUGAUGACGAGGCACCACGGUGCUGAAGCAACAAAUGCCCUGCUUCCAGGAAAAGCCUCUAAGCAUCAGGUAACAUCAAAUCGUACCCCAAACCGACACAGGUGGUCAGGUAGAGAAUACCAAGGCGCUUGAGAGAACUCGGGUGAAGGAACUAGGCAAAAUGGUGCCGUAACUUCGGGAGAAGGCACGCUGACACGUAGGUGAAGUGAUUUACUCAUGGAGCUGAAGUCAGUCGAAGAUACCAGCUGGCUGCAACUGUUUAUUAAAAACACAGCACUGUGCAAACACGAAAGUGGACGUAUACGGUGUGACGCCUGCCCGGUGCCGGAAGGUUAAUUGAUGGGGUCAGCGCAAGCGAAGCUCCUGAUCGAAGCCCCGGUAAACGGCGGCCGUAACUAUAACGGUCCUAAGGUAGCGAAAUUCCUUGUCGGGUAAGUUCCGACCUGCACGAAUGGCGUAAUGAUGGCCAGGCUGUCUCCACCCGAGACUCAGUGAAAUUGAACUCGCUGUGAAGAUGCAGUGUACCCGCGGCAAGACGGAAAGACCCCGUGAACCUUUACUAUAGCUUGACACUGAACAUUGAGCCUUGAUGUGUAGGAUAGGUGGGAGGCUUUGAAGCGUGGACGCCAGUCUGCGUGGAGCCGACCUUGAAAUACCACCCUUUAAUGUUUGAUGUUCUAACGUGGACCCGUAAUCCGGGUUGCGGACAGUGUCUGGUGGGUAGUUUGACUGGGGCGGUCUCCUCCUAAAGAGUAACGGAGGAGCACGAAGGUUGGCUAAUCCUGGUCGGACAUCAGGAGGUUAGUGCAAUGGCAUAAGCCAGCUUGACUGCGAGCGUGACGGCGCGAGCAGGUGCGAAAGCAGGUCAUAGUGAUCCGGUGGUUCUGAAUGGAAGGGCCAUCGCUCAACGGAUAAAAGGUACUCCGGGGAUAACAGGCUGAUACCGCCCAAGAGUUCAUAUCGACGGCGGUGUUUGGCACCUCGAUGUCGGCUCAUCACAUCCUGGGGCUGAAGUAGGUCCCAAGGGUAUGGCUGUUCGCCAUUUAAAGUGGUACGCGAGCUGGGUUUAGAACGUCGUGAGACAGUUCGGUCCCUA